rnacentral:tRNA from 1 species
GCCAGCAUGGUGCAAUGGUUUGAGCAUUGGACUAUAACUCUGAAGACCAGGGUUCGAAUCCUGACUCCGUCA